rnacentral:lncRNA from 1 species
AUGUCUGGGUGGCAGUGUGUCCGAUGAAUGUAUGUGAGUAUGUGUGUAUAUAUGUGUGUGCAUAGAUGUAUGUCCGUGUGUGUGUGUGUGUGUGUAUGUGUGUAUGAGUGUGUAUGUAUGUACGUGUGGGUGUGGGGAAGUGUGUGUAUGUGCAUGUGUGUGCGCGAACAUACAGGUGUGUGAGUGAGUGCGUGUGUGUGUAUGUAUGUGUGAGUGUGUAUGUAUGUGUGUGUAGGAUGCAUGUAUGUGUAUGGGUGUAUGUAUGCGUGUGUGUAUGUAUGUAUGUGUACGUGCGUGUGUGUGUGUGUAUGCGUGUAGGUGUGCGCGUGUGCAUGCGUGCAUGUAUGUGCGUAUGUGUGUGUGUGUGCAUGUGUGUGGGUAUAUAUGUGUGUGCGUAUAUGUGUGUGUAUGUGCGUACAUGUGUGUGUGUGUGCAUGUGUGUGUGUAGGUGUGUAGGCGUGUGUGUAUAGGUGUAUGUAUGUAAGUAUGUAUGGGUGUGUCCGUGUAUGUGUGUAUGUAUGUGUGUGUAUGUAGCUGUGUGGGCGUGUGUAUAUGUGUGUGUAUGUAGGUGUGUAGGCGUGUGUAUAUAGGUGUAUGUAUGUAUGUCUGGGUGUGUCCGUGCAUGUUUGUGUGUGUGUGUGUGUGCAUGUGUAUGUAGGUGUGUGUGUACGUGUGUAAUGUAUGUGUGUAUGCGUGUGUAUGCGUGCGUGUGUGUAUGUAGGUGCGUGUGUAUGUGUGUGGGAGUGUAGGUGUGUGUGUGCGUGUGCGUGUUUAUGUUGGUGUGUGCGUAUGUGAGUGUGAGUGUAUGAGUGUUUGUCAUGCAUGUGUGUGCGCGUGCAGGUGAGUGUGUGUGUAAGUAUGUGUGUGUGUAUGUUUGUGUGAGUGUGUAUGUGUGUAUGUCUGUGUGUAUGUAUGUGCGUAUAGGAGUAUGUAGGUAUGUGUGUGUGUAUGUAUAUGGGUGUAUGUAUGUGUGUGUGUGUGCAUGUGUAUAAGUAUAUGCGUGUGUGCGUAUGUGUGUGUAUGUGUAUGUGUGUGUGUUUAUGUAUGUGUGUAUGUAUGUGUGUAGGCGUGAGUGUGUAGAUGUAUCUAUAUAUGGGUGUGUGUCAGUGUGUGUUUGUGUGUGUGUAGGUAGAUGUGUGUGUCUGAGUGAGGGUAUGGCUGUGUAGGUGUGUGUGUGUAUGAAUGUAAGUGUGUGCGUAUACAAGUGUAAUGUAUGUAUGUGGGUGUGUGUGUGUGUGUAUGUGUACGUGUGCGUGUGUAUGUGUGUGUGUGUAUGCGUGUGAGUGUGGGUGUAUGGGUGUAUGUCUGUGUGUGUGUAUGUCUGAAGUGGGUAUGUGUGUGUAUGUAUGUAUGUGUGUGUGUGUGCGGGUAUGUGUGUGUGUGUAUGUGUGUGUGUGAGUAGGUGUGCGUGUAUGUAUGUGGGUAGGGAUGCAUGCGAGUGUGUGGGUAUGUAUGCAAACAUACGCAAGCGCACAUCCGAAGCAAGCCCACACACACGAGCGCGCUCACGCACACAACGCACAAGCAGUGCAACGCAAGCCCAAAGGGGCCGACCGAGCCCCCAGCGCGCGCCAAGGCGCGCGAGCGCAAAGGCCCUCGAACGCCCCGCUACGCGGGAACCGAGGAUCCAUCAGCCAAAACCGGAAAGCAGAAAAGAGGGGGGGCUGCCUGGAUGCAAAAAGGUGUAUGUGUGUGUGCAUUCAGUGUACGGGUGUGCAUGUGUGGGUAUGUAUGUAUGUAUGUGCCUACAUGUAUGUGUGCAUGUGUGUGUGUGUGAGGUAUGUACGUGCGGUGUGUGUGUGUGAGUGUGUGUGUAUGUAUGUGCGUAUGUAUGUGUGUGUGUAUGUGUGUAUGUAUGUCUGUGUGUGUGUGUGUGUGUAAGUAUGUAUGCGUGUGUGUAUGUAUGUGUGUGUGUAUGUGCAUGUGUGUCUGUAAGUGUGUGUGAUUAAAUGUGUGAAUGUAUGUACGUAGAUGGGUCUACGUAUGUGUGUGUGUGAACAGGCGUGUGGGAGGUAGGUAGGUGGGUGGUAGGUAGGUGGGUGGGAGGUAGGUGGGUGGGUGUGUGUGGGUGGUGUGUCCGGAAAAAAAAAAAAAAAAAAAAAAAAAAAAAAACGGUCUCAAGAGGAGGGGGCUGUGUUAAGUCCGUGUGGGGUGGUAGUUUGUAGGGUGAAGAUGUAGCGUUGCUCCAAGUGGAGCCUGGAAAGUGGGCGACCAUUGUGGGGGGCGAGACCAAACACUGAGAUGUCAUCUCGGGAAUGGCCGGCCGAGCGGAAGUGGCGUGCGACGGGAGAAAAAGAGUGUAGGCGAACGUCCCUCAAGUGUUCAGUGAAACGGUCGGACAACCGGCGUCCCGUCUGACCUACAUACAGCAUCCCGCAUAGGUUGCAUUUAAUGCAGUAAAUAAGGCCAGACGAGGUGCACGUAAAAGAGUGCCUAAUGCGUACAGUAUGCAGGUUGGAGCCGGUGACAGCGGUGGUGUUGGUGAUGAAGGGGCAAGUGUUGCAGCGGGAUCUAGAGCAAGGGAAUGAUCCGUGUGGGGCUGAGGGGGAAGGGGAGAGGGUGCUGUGGACCAGGAGGUCACGCAGAUUGCGGGCUCGUUUGAAAGAGGACAGGGGUGGGUUAGGGAAAAUGGGGCGGGUGGUGGGAUCAAGCUGGAGGCGACGGAAGGCACGUAGUAUCUUGCGACGAAGGGGUAGGGUAGAGGGGUGGAAAAGGAGGGGGAAGGGGGUGCGGUUGGGGGGUGGGCGGGGGGAAGGAGACAAGGCGGUAGUGCGGUCGAUGCGACGGGCGCGGGUGAGGGCAUCAGAGAGGAGUGUGGGUGGGUAACCUCGGAGUCUGAACAUGCGGGCCAGGUAUUGAGAUUGGGUCUCGAAAUCCUGGUCGCGGCUGCACAAACGUCGGAGGCGGAGGAACUGGGAGUAGGGGAUGGCUCGUUUGGUGUGGAAGGGGUGGGAGGAAGAGAAGUUGAGAUAGAGGUGGGAAUCCGUAGGUUUAAAGAAGGCGGUGGUGGUGAGAGAGCUGGAGGGGUGAUCGAUGCGGAGAGAGAUGUCAAGGAAGUUGACAGAGGUGUUGGAGAUGGUGGAGGUGAAUUGAAGAGAGGGGUGAAAGUUGGAAAGGAAAGAGAUGAAUUGGCCGAGACGUUCCCGGGAAAGGGAGGUGGCACCUACACAGUCGUCGAUAUAGCGACCGUAUAGUUCGGGGGUCGGCCCAGAGAACUGGGAGAACACUUGGGCCUCAAUGUAGCCAAGAAAGAGAUUGGCGAAAUUGGGGCCCAUCCUAGUUCCCAUCGCGACCCCGGACACCUGUUGGUACGUUUCCCCGGCGAACGUGAAGCAAUUGAGGGUGAGGACGAGCUCAGCCAAACGGAGAAGGGUGGGGGUGCUGGGGGUGGGGUCGGGACGACGGUCGAGGAAGUGUUGGAGGGCUAGGAGACCGUCAUUGUGGGGAAUCACUGUGUACAGGGAUUUUACAUCUAAGGUGAAGAGGAGGUGUGAGGGGCUGGAAGGGAAGGAAAAGGAAUUGAAGAGACGGAGGGCGUGGUUGGUGUCGUGUAUGUGGGAUGGGAGGGCUGCGACUAGGGGGGACAGGAUGCGGUCGAGGUAUAGGGAGAUGAGUUCAGUGGGGCAAUUACAGGCAGAGACUAUGGGACGGCCAGGGUUAGAGGGUUUAUGGAUCUUGGGAAGGAAGUAGAUGGUGGAGGUGCGGGGUGUGCGGACGAUGAGGUUGGUGGCGGUGAGGGGGAGAGCGGAGGAGGAGAUGAGGUCGUGGAUGGUGGAGGACACUCGCUGUUGGUAGGAGGAGGUGGGAUCGGAGGGGAGGAGGCGAUAGAAGAGGGGAUUUUGAAGCUGGUUGAGCGCUUCCUCCCUGUAUAGGUCCGCGCGCCACACUACCACCGCCCCGCCUUUGUCCGCCGGUUUGAUGACAAUGUCAUCACGACGGCGGAGGUGGCGAAGGGCGAUGGAUUCGGCCCGAGUGAGGUUGGCUCGGCGGGGUCUUGGUUCAAAGUUGAAACGGUGGACCAAAGCGUUGCAGUCAUGUACAAACGAAUCUAGGCUACUGAAAAGGCCUGGGGCGGCGUCCAGAUGGAUGGACGACGCCCCAGCUCCAAAAGGCAAUCCUGAUUGUUGUGACGCUGCGGGGACGCGUGGUAGUAUGCGCAAAGUUUGAGGCGGCGCAGGAACAGGUUGACGUCCGCCCGAGUCUCGAACUCAUCACAGUGGCGCGUGAGUGGCGUGAAGCGGAGACCCUUAUUGAGGAGGGAGCGCUCAGCGGCGGAGAGGGGGAGGUUGGGGGGUAUAGUGACAACAGCGCGAGGAAGCGGGGUGGUGGGAGGACUAGGGGCAGGCGGAGGUGGUGCAGGGGUGUGAAGGGGAGGGUAGGGGUGGUUGGGUGAAGAUGGGUUAGGCGUAGGAAGGUCACGGUGGGGGGUGGGGGUCCGUGGAAGGGUGGGGUAGGUGCGGAGGAGGGGGGAAACAGUGGGGGAGGAUGGGGAAGGGGGUGAGGGUUGAGGAGGAGGUGGAGUUUUUGUUUUUAGUGUGUGUGAGGUAGUUGUAGAGUAGGUGGUUGAGAUUAAGAAUGAAGCGGAGGAUAGGUUGGGUGAAGAGUGGAGGGCAGAGGGCGAAGAGAAGGAGGUAGGCCUGGGGAAGUUGAUGGUCGAGGGAGUCAAGGAGGGGGCGGGUGGAGCGGAUGGUGGCGCGGAGGAGGGAGCGGGAGGUGCGAGCGAGGGUGGGUUCGAUGAAGGGGGAGGAAUAGGGGGUAGCGUGGAACUUCAAGAGGAAACCGCGGGGUGUGACAUGAUGGCGGAGACACCGGCUAAGAAAGGAAAUAUGACUGGAAUGGCGGGUUUUCUUAAAAAGCAAGCGGGAAAGUUUUAUAGCAGGUGCGGAACAUUGUGGGGGGAAGAACGCGAGGUAGCGGCUGAGGAGGGAUUGAAGGUGUUGGACGAACGAGUGCAAGUCAGGCAUGAUGAGAAGUGGUGGCAAACAGUUAAAGGUGGGAGGUGGCGAAACAGGAAAAAGGAGAGACAACAGGAAAACAACAAAAGAAGAAAAAGGGUGAAGACGGUUUGAAAACAAUAGAACAAAGUUGAAAAAAGUCAGGAAAGAGAUUUGAGAGUCAACGGACAGAUUAGGUAAUGAUUUUCAAUCACGGUAAUGGCAGUACUCCGGAAGAAGGUUGCGGGUAGAUCCGUAGGUCAGGAUGAAUGGUAAUAAUAAUCCGUAGGUGCAAAAAAUCCGGGAAUUGAGUAUCCAAGGUACAAGGGGUCCGUGUAGGCGCGCAGUGGUAUAAUUUUAAUCCAAACGGGAAACAAAAAAACAACAACAAGGGAACAAUUACAGUAUUAUUAUUAAUAGGCGCUCAGGAAAUGGAAGCAGGGAGGUAUGACGUUUCGAGCGGAGCUCUUCGUCGGAAACAUAAAGAAGGAAGAGAGAGGAAAGAAAGAUCCCGGAGCGGGCAACGGAGAUAGAGAAAAAAACGGCUGGUGUUAGCAGAAGCACAUGGUGAAAGGCGGAUGUUUACGAUAACAAGAGCAAAGUGGGUUUUUAAAGGCAAAAGAGUGGAGACAAGGUUGGUAACGCAACAGAUGUGUGUGUAUGUGUGAGUGUGUGCGUGUGCGUGUGUGUAUGUGUGUGUGUGAGGCGAGGUAAAAAAACAAAAAAUAUAUGUAUGUGUUAGUGUGUGCGUCUGUGUGUAGGCGUGUGAGGUAGGGCGAGACGGUGGUCAGCAUAGCAGCAGCAUAGCAGACAAAGGUCAGUAGUGAGAAAAGGGAGGAAGGAGGAAGGGAGGGAGGGGAAGGGGUGGGGGCGUAUGUAGCGUGCCAGCGUGUGUUGAGUGGUAGUGUGUGUGUGUGUCCAGUGUCGUGGUAGUAUUAGUGGCGAGUAGAUUGAAUGUGUGUAAGAGUGAGGUAUAUGUUUAAGCAAUGUGUGUAUAUGUGUGCGCGUGUGUGUAACGAAAAAAAAGGGGGGGGGGGGUUUAGGAAAAGGACUCCAGCGGAGGGGGAAGAUGGAGGAGUGGUCCCGCGGAGACGGGCGUGGGAAAACCCAACGACACGCGACAUUCCAGGAACGGGCGGGAGGUCUCGUCGGAUCCAAGGGCGAGGUGCAUGCGGGCGCAUGCGUGCGCGAACCGGCGCAAACGCGUGUGUGCGCGAGCCUGCGAGUGUGCGCGUACGUAUGUGUGCGUGUGGAUGUGUGAGUGUGUCUGUGUGUAUGUCUGGGUGGCAGUGUGUCCGAUGAAUGUAUGUGAGUAUGUGUGUAUAUAUGUGUGUGCAUAGAUGUAUGUCCGUGUGUGUGUGUGUGUGUGUAUGUGUGUAUGAGUGUGUAUGUAUGUACGUGUGGGUGUGGGGAAGUGUGUGUAUGUGCAUGUGUGUGCGCGAACAUACAGGUGUGUGAGUGAGUGCGUGUGUGUGUAUGUAUGUGUGAGUGUGUAUGUAUGUGUGUGUAGGAUGCAUGUAUGUGUAUGGGUGUAUGUAUGCGUGUGUGUAUGUAUGUAUGUGUACGUGCGUGUGUGUGUGUGUAUGCGUGUAGGUGUGCGCGUGUGCAUGCGUGCAUGUAUGUGCGUAUGUGUGUGUGUGUGCAUGUGUGUGGGUAUAUAUGUGUGUGCGUAUAUGUGUGUGUAUGUGCGUACAUGUGUGUGUGUGUGCAUGUGUGUGUGUAGGUGUGUAGGCGUGUGUGUAUAGGUGUAUGUAUGUAAGUAUGUAUGGGUGUGUCCGUGUAUGUGUGUAUGUAUGUGUGUGUAUGUAGCUGUGUGGGCGUGUGUAUAUGUGUGUGUAUGUAGGUGUGUAGGCGUGUGUAUAUAGGUGUAUGUAUGUAUGUCUGGGUGUGUCCGUGCAUGUUUGUGUGUGUGUGUGUGUGCAUGUGUAUGUAGGUGUGUGUGUACGUGUGUAAUGUAUGUGUGUAUGCGUGUGUAUGCGUGCGUGUGUGUAUGUAGGUGCGUGUGUAUGUGUGUGGGAGUGUAGGUGUGUGUGUGCGUGUGCGUGUUUAUGUUGGUGUGUGCGUAUGUGAGUGUGAGUGUAUGAGUGUUUGUCAUGCAUGUGUGUGCGCGUGCAGGUGAGUGUGUGUGUAAGUAUGUGUGUGUGUAUGUUUGUGUGAGUGUGUAUGUGUGUAUGUCUGUGUGUAUGUAUGUGCGUAUAGGAGUAUGUAGGUAUGUGUGUGUGUAUGUAUAUGGGUGUAUGUAUGUGUGUGUGUGUGCAUGUGUAUAAGUAUAUGCGUGUGUGCGUAUGUGUGUGUAUGUGUAUGUGUGUGUGUUUAUGUAUGUGUGUAUGUAUGUGUGUAGGCGUGAGUGUGUAGAUGUAUCUAUAUAUGGGUGUGUGUCAGUGUGUGUUUGUGUGUGUGUAGGUAGAUGUGUGUGUCUGAGUGAGGGUAUGGCUGUGUAGGUGUGUGUGUGUAUGAAUGUAAGUGUGUGCGUAUACAAGUGUAAUGUAUGUAUGUGGGUGUGUGUGUGUGUGUAUGUGUACGUGUGCGUGUGUAUGUGUGUGUGUGUAUGCGUGUGAGUGUGGGU